AGGCAGCCUGCCGCAGCGAUUAAUCUGCGAGCACGGCGUUCAUCUGCCCAGAGAUGAAAAUUUCUUGCUUUUCUGACUCGCGGAGAGCUUUUGGCUCGAUGAGGCAAGUCAAGUAACACUCGAAAACAUU
rfam:Selaginella moellendorffii unplaced genomic scaffold SELMOscaffold_3, whole genome shotgun sequence.